AUUUGGCGAUGAUGAUAACAUAUUAUCCCAGCUCAUUAUGAGGCCUUUUGUGGCCAAGGAGAAUAACUGUUUCUAUAACAUUAUCUGAGCCUUAUU
rfam:Capsella rubella cultivar Monte Gargano unplaced genomic scaffold scaffold_2, whole genome shotgun sequence.